AAAGGUUCCUGUGGUUGGUUUUCGUUUUCUUUGAAAAACCAUGUAGUUUUCCAGGGUGCUAUGACAAUGUUUUAAGUUGCAAGAAGUUGAUAAAGUGUAUUUGGGAAAUAUUAUUCGAGGAUGGGUCAUGUCACUGCAGACUGGACACCACUUGGUGAAGUCUUUUACAGGUAAAUUGCUCUCAUAAAAAAACUAUGGUAAUUUUUAAUAUGACAAUGGUUGAUUUAUACCGAGAUGGUAGAGUUGUAAGAAAUUGCAGGAAUCACUGAGUAUUUUAAUUAAAUACAAAACAAUAGUAACCCUGAAAAUAGUAAAAUUUUGAAAUUGUUUAUUCAACAUUUCAGCUAGAUCAUGCAUAUAUCAGGACUUUGUCAUUGUCAAGAAUGAAAUACUUUCAGUCAUCAUCGUUCAUUCCUAAUUAAUGAGUAAUGAUGACCAAAAUCUAGUCAAAAUGUUGAAAAAAAAAUUCCUGAUGAUGAUUAAAAUCUAAAAAUGCAGAUCUUCUGCCUGGAACAUUUUCCAUGCACAUUUAAUACAAAAACCACAGUCUGGCAGACUGGCAGAGUGAUCUUAGGAAAAACCUAUUGUCUGUUAGAUUAUUCCUUUCUGUAUAUAAAACAAGACGCCUGCUCAGGUGUUCACACUGGCCUGAAAAUGGCAAUUUUCAUGGUAGGGUGUAAUGUGUAGUAGAGAAUUCGAAGUAGACAGGGAUACAGGAGCUAGGUUCGGACCAUAUAAAUACAACCAAUAAAUACAAUCAUGAUCAGCAACUAUCUGCCAUAAUAUACCAAGACGCCGGCUCAGGCAUACCCCCGGCUACGGGCAACUCAACCUGACAAGCCAGGCCCACUGUAAACCAUAGACGGAUUUUGUGGGGGUGCAGGGGGGUGCUACCCCCCAAUAUUAGCUAUAACCACCCCAAACAAAAUGGCCACCCCUCCAAAAAAAUUUUCAACCCCCCCAAUAUUCGGCAUAAUAAAAAAUAAUUAAAUAGUCCACUCCAACGUGCAGAGUGUUGAUGAUACUAAAUAAACGUAGGAGUACACUACAGUGCAAUACUAAUCGCUCCUUGCUUGCAUUCACUGGUAAAUUGUAAAGUUUUGAAACUCUAUUAUCUCCCCUGAAUAGAGUUCGCAGUGCCUUGUCAUGCAAAUAGCUUGCUAAUUGCAAGGAAUGUUUGGAAUUUUUACGAAAAUUAUUUUUAGUUUUAAAUUCUUUUAGGAAAUGGACUUGCCUAGAUUUAAUCUUUAUGCCCCAAAUAUUAUUUACAUCGGAGUUGCAUCAUAAAUUGUACUUGGAUUUGACACAAUGUCAAUGACUUUAUAAAAGUAAAAACAUAUUGUGUAUUGGCCUAUCGGGUUUACACUUUUACAGGUUCAUUUAACUUUAACUCUCUCAAGUCUCAACAGACAAUCGGACAUGCCAAAUCUAUUGAUAUGACAACUUCAAAAAACUUUUUUUCGAAGCUAAAAAUCAUGAUUUUUUUCAAAUUUCACCAGGGAUACUUUGUUUUCUGCUCUCUAGACUCCCCCUCACGGCUCUAGUGCUCCACCCCUAGAAUAUAGACCUUACUGGGGUUUGGGGACACUUUGUGUUGCUUCAGACACCUGCUCACGGCUCACCCCCCUAAAAUUUCUGGCACCACCCCCAGUAAAAAAUAUGAAAAUCCGUCUAUGCUGUAAACUAUGAUCAUCAACAUCAACCGUAAAUAAUGAUGGGCCAAUAAUAUAGCGAAGAAAUUAUAUAGUCCUUGAUUUUUAAUGCCAUUAUAUGACUCGUUUCUGGUGCUAAAAGUUCAUAGACAUAGACGAUUCGUCUAAAAAAUACACCAAUUUGCUUCCAUUUAUAAGAUAAACUGAUCCCAAGCCCUUAUCUAACCCCAACCAGUAAACAUCUAAUAAACAAUUUGAGAAUUAAAAAAGUGGGGGGGGGGAAAGUUGGAUCUUGUUUUGAAAACAAAUCGAACCGUGUACCACGUUUCACUUCACUGCAUGCAAUGCCACCUCACUGAUUACAACUGAACAAAGACAUUUUUAUAGUAAUAUAUGAUGAAAUGGAAAGUAUAAUUUGGUGCAAAUUAAUGUAAUUAGGUGCAAAUCUAUAAUUAUGCAAAUCAACACAAGUAUAUAUGAGUCUACAAUGUAUAUUUAUACUUGUUAAUUAAAAAGUCAAACUGUCAAACCUUUAAAGACCAUGUAAAGUCCGUAAUGUAAACAAACGCUUUGUUUACAUUUUGAACUCAGUGCUACAGUUGUAAAAUAUGAUUAUAGAUAUAUAUUAUACUGAAUUUUUAACACUCUUCUGGUUCGAUCGCCAUGCUUGUAAAUGAAUACAGACUAGAGAUUCAAUUCAAGAAAGUUCAAAAGAUACAAAAUAUUAAUAACAUUCCAACGGUCAGGUCCCGACCAUUGGAAUGUAAGCCUGCGCAGAAUGUAAGCCUGCGCAAAACAGAUUUUACAUGGUCUUUAACUUGUCCUUGUUUAUAUUCCACUAUAUUGUAUAAAUUCAUUGGGUCCAAAUUUUGGGGUUUUCGAGUUGUUACACAAAGAAAAACACAUUAAUUCAACACGCGCAAUAGAGUCCAGAGUGCGACACAACAUAUUUUCCAUGGGAAACCUGCACAAUUCUUUGAAAAUUCAACGAAACUGUGUGACUAUGUCACUGGAGCACUCGGAAUUGUGCGCACUGGAGUUCGGAAUUGUGUGCAUGCGUACAAGUGUAUGGGCUAAUAAACGAAAAACGUACCACAAGCAUGACAUGAGCCGGCUAUUACGUACAUAAAUACGAGCUUGUUACUGUGGUAUUUAAAUCAUGGAACUGAGGAAUUGAUGGCAUUUUGGCUUAGUCGUUGCAGCCUGAGCCUGCGAUGAGCUAACGCAAACUCGAUUUCUCGGCUACGAAAAAACCCCCCAGAAAAAGAGGUAUUUAAGACACUUGGCCUACAGGUCAGUGUAAUGAGGGUAACAUACAUAUGGAUCAUCCAUCAAGGUCCUGACUGGCAAGUUUGGAAAUUACACACUCCAGAUUUCAAAAAUUUAACAGUAAAUAUUAAAUAAAUAGAGAAAAUCAAAAUUCAACCUCGUACCCAGGGUAUUUCCUCUUGGAGAGAAAAGACCCUGGUAGACGCUGGUCACGUGAUCUGCUAAAAUCUAGCAGAUUUCUAAUUAACUAUCUUGGAUUCCUUCACGACAAUCAUACAAAAUGCAAAUUAUAAAUUAAACUAUAGAAAUCAUCCAAAUAUCAAAUAUUUAUUGACCUCAUCUUGGAUUGCUAAUUAAAAAUCUGCUAGACUUUAGCAGAUCAUGUGACCAGCAUCUACCAGGGUCUUUUCUCUCCAAGAGGAAAGACCCUGGUACCAUGUAAUAAAUGUCCAGAUAACAAUGCAAUUCUGCAGUUGUGGGUGUCUGUUUAUGUAUACUGUAGGCAACAUCACUCACUGCAUAGUAAGUAGUUGUAUUUAUUCCUAAAGGCCCGUUUACACUUGCAAUUUUUGCUGCAAUUUUAGGUGCGAUUUUCUUCUUCUGAUGUAUGUGAACAAGUGGAUGAAUUAUGAA